GACUCUCGGCAACGGAUAUCUCGGCUCACGCAUCGAUGAAGAACGUAGCAAAAUGCGAUACUUGGUGUGAAUUGCAGAAUCCCGUGAACCAUCGAGUUUUUGAACGCAAGUUGCGCCCAAAGCCUUUCGGUUGAGGGCACGUCUGCCUGGGCGUCACAC
rnacentral:rRNA from 1 species